GUAGUUAGCCGGUGCUUUCUUGUUGGGUACCGUCAUUAUCGUCCCCAACGACAGGAGUUUACAAUCCGAAAACCUUCUUCCCUCACGCGGCGUUGCUGGGUCAGGCUUGCGCCCAUUGCCCAAUAUUCCCCACUGCUGCCUCCCGUAGGAGUCUGGACCGUGUCUCAGUUCCAGUGUGGCCGAUCAGCCUCUCAGCUCGGCUACCCAUCGUCGGCUUGGUGGGCUGUUAUCUCACCAACUACCUAAUGGGACGCGAACCCCUCUAAAAGCGAUAAAUCUUUGACCUCUUCCCGAUGCCGGGUUGUGGUCUUAUGCGGUAUUAGCAGUUGUUUCCACCUGUUAUUCCCCACUCUUAGGCAGGUUGUUCACGCGUUACUCACCCGUGCGCCACUAGAAUUAUCAAUUCCAUCCGAAAACUUCCUUAAUAAUCCCCGUUCGACUUGCAUGUGUUAGGCACGCCGCCAGCGUCUCCUGAGCCACANAUACAACUACU
rnacentral:rRNA from 1 species